GACGAACGCUGGCGGCGUGCUUAACACAUGCAAGUCGAACGGAAAGGCCCUGCUUUUGUGGGGUGCUCGAGUGGCGAACGGGUGAGUAACACGUGAGUAACCUGCCCUUGACUUUGGGAUAACUUCAGGAAACUGGGGCUAAUACCGGAUAGGAGCUCCUGCUGCAUGGUGGGGGUUGGAAAGUUUCGGCGGUUGGGGAUGGACUCGCGGCUUAUCAGCUUGUUGGUGGGGUAGUGGCUUACCAAGGCUUUGACGGGUAGCCGGCCUGAGAGGGUGACCGGCCACAUCGAGACUGAGAUACGGCCCAGACUCCUACGGGAGGCAGCAGUGGGGAAUAUUGCACAAUGGACGGAAGCCUGAUGCAGCAACGCCGCGUGCGGGAUGACGGCCUUCGGGUUGUAAACCGCUUUCGCCUGUGACGAAGCGUGAGUGACGGUAAUGGGUAAAGAAGCACCGGCUAACUACGUG
rnacentral:rRNA from 1 species